rnacentral:rRNA from 1 species
GGGCCCGCACAAGCGGCGGAGCAUGCGGAUUAAUUCGAUGCAACGCGAAGAACCUUACCAAGGCUUGACAUGCACUGGAUCGCCCUAGAGAUAGGGUUUCCCUUCGGGGCCGGUGUACAGGUGGUGCAUGGUUGUCGUCAGCUCGUGUCGUGAGAUGUUGGGUUAAGUCCCGCAACGAGCGGAACCCCUAUUCUAUGUUGCCAGCAAUUCGGUUGGGGACUCAUGGAAGACUGCCGGGGUCAACUCGGAGGAAGGUGGGGACGACGUCAAAUCAUCAUGCCCCUUAUGUCUUGGGCUUCACGCAUGCUACAAUGGCCGGCACAAUGGGUUGCGAGGCUGUGAGGUUGAGCUAAUCCCAUAAAACCGGUCUCAGUUCGGAUUGGGGUCUGCAACUCGACCCCAUGAAGUCGGAGUCGCUAGUAAUCGCAGAUCAGCAACGCUGCGGUGAAUACGUUCCCGGGCCUUGUACACACCGCCCGUCAAGUCACGAAAGUUGGUAACACCCGAAGCCGGUGGCCUAACCCUUUGUGGGGAGGAGCCGUCGAAGGUGGGACCGGUGAUUGGGACUAAGUCGUAACAAGGUAACCAAGGGCGAAUUC